AGCUUUGCGCAGUGGCAGUAUCGUAGCCAAUGAGGUUUAUCCAAGGCACGAUUAUUGCUAAUUGAAAAGUAGAGUUUUGUCCUGAUACUUCAUUGAAUUCGUUUAUUAGUCCUAACAAUUUUUUUGUGGAAUCUUUUGGGUU